UUUAAACUGAUAUAAUACCUAUCACUAAUAUAAUAUAUUUUAAGGUAAAAGAAAGAGAUACAAUCAUUGUAACAGUUCGAUUCGAAGACGUGCUAAUAUGUUAAUUCUCCAUUAUAAAUUAUAAUAUCAUGAGAUAUGAGGCGUUAUUCAUAUUGAACAAGACUCAGGGAUUGACGAACACGCAUGCCGUUUCUGGGAAAUGGAAGAAGAUGUGGGACUCAAAGGAUCUACUAAACAUUAAUGAAGAACGAGCUUGUUUGUUAAGAAAUUAAUUAGAAGACGGAAGAAAAUAGAUUUCCUUACACAAUGCGUUUGUGGUAUAUGUUGUUACUAUUUAGAUUCAGUAUAUUACUUAUUAUGUAUGUAUUUUCAUUUGUUAUUUUUCUUCUUUUCGUUUCGUUUAUGGGCGUCUCUAAGUUUAUAAUACCCAAAAAUAUAUAUGAUCGUCACAAGUUACCUGUGAUUUGUGUUUGAACAGGAGAUAUUAACAAAAAAGACAGGAGGAUUCAGAAAGAAAUAUAUGUCCUUUCUUUUGGUUCUUUAUUAAUUGGAAGAGAGGUCAGUAGUGCCUUACUAGUGGUCAAUUUUAUUCAGUUGGAAGGAGAAUACGAAAUUGAAAUGGAAUCAAAUAUGGAGCCUUACAGAAUAAUGAAUCCAAGGAGGAUAUCAAUUCCACUCCACCUCUGGUAAAACAAGAAUUGGAAAGGCUCGUAAAACUAGAUGUCAUUGAAAUAUGCAUAUCCAAGGAUUUUGAUUCGAUUUUGAAUUUUUAGAGAAAUCCUAUUUAUUAUGGAGAUGUACUAGCACAUAUGUAACACUAUCUUAAUAAUUUUAACUAUUUCAAUGUAACAAUAAUGACGUCAUACUCCAUAAUAAAUAAUAAUAAUUGAUAUCCCAAUGUAGAUAUAAUACUGCACUUCGUACUAAUUCAAAUAAUGUUAUUACUAAUUACAUUUGAAAUUCCCAAAUCAUCGUGAAUGGAUAUCUUGAUUGUUGCUAUCCUGGAAUCUUCUUCCCUAGGAAGGUGUCGACUCUCCUCUCUUAUGAAGCCUGGUAUUUUUCCUAGGAUUAAUUUGCCUCAGGUUUUCGCCCGUAGAAUACGGAGUUCCAAAUAAGAGCAUCUCUUGAGAUGGAGGAUGUAUCUUCCUUCGAUUUCCUCUAUUUGCCUUUUGUCAUAAAUCUUGGAGAACGUAGAAGUCCACCUAUUC
rnacentral:lncRNA from 1 species